ACAAAAUGACAGAGUAAAAAUGCAUAAUCUUGAAUAGAAUUGGCGCAAGGAAUAAAUGAAAUUUGUUAUAGAAUUUGUUCAAGAAAGUAGUAAAUUUUUUUCAAUCAAAUUUUUUCAUACGUGGUUUUUUAAAUAACCAUAAAACAUGCAGCAAACGAAACUUAUACUCUGUUCUUAUUGGUUUUAUCAUUGUCUUGUAGAAUUGUUAAACAAUCACCCACUGACAAUGUAGGUCAGUGGGUGAUUGACACUGAAAUGGAAGAUGUAGCAGCCGAGUGACUCUCUUGAUAAGAAAAUUGGGGAAAAUGUUCUUGCUCUUCGGCGAUUGAGUUCAAACCACCAGCACUACCUAGGCAUCCCUGAUCUGGGGGAGUCAAUUCAACACUUUCACCAGUGAAUUCACUGUCAAAGUAUCGUGUGUCGGUUUCGGAAGUUACUUGAGGCUUGAAUGGUGGAGCUAUUUUCUUCUGGACAAGGUCUGACCAGUCGAUUGAUGAGAAAAAUGCGUGGCUCAUUAUGUCUUUUGCAUCGUUUGGACCACCACCUAGUCGUCUACUUGGGUCUUUGAUCAAUAAACCUGGAUAUAAUUUAGGUGUUUAAAGACUUUUUUUUUUAAACCAAGUAAAUGUGAAAGAAAAGUGAAAGCCAAGUUGGAGAAAGUAUUUUGUCUACUCACCACCAAGCAGAUCCUUAGCCUCAUUGGAGAUAGUCCUUGGAAAUUUGACUUCCUCUAACAGUAUGAGUGUAAAUAAUUUCUCAUGAUCACGAUUGUAAAAUGGAAGACGUCCGCACAUCAUCUCGUACAUAACGACACCGACACCCCACCAAUCGACAGCUCGUCCAUAAUCAUUAUCCUCGAGCACUUCCGGUGCCAGAUAUUCGGGUGUCCCACAGAAGGUAAUGUCCUCUUUGCAUAGUCCAAAAUCAGCGAUUUUGAUGUGUCCAUCCUUAUCGAGAAGCAAAUUCUCGAGCUUGAGAUCACGAUAAAUAAUGCCUUGUGAGUGAAGAUACCCAAGGGCUGAUAUAAUCUCAGCUCCGUAGAAUCUCGUUCUGUCUUCUCCAAACACUCGCGAGCGACUCAAGUGGAAAAAUAACUCUCCACCGUUGACGUAUUCCAUGACAAAACAUAGUCGAUCUGCUGUUUGGAAACUGUAUUUGAGAGACUGCAAACAAUUAUCAAUUGUUACAAUAUUUUGAUGGCAUAUAAAUGACCUGUGGCUUUCUCACGACACAAAAUGACUUUUCCGAAUGUACCUUUGCCGAGGACUUUUAGAAAUUCAAAGUUCUCCAGAGUCUGAACUUAUCAAAACUUACGACUUUCUUCUUGCCACUGCUUUUACUACUCGAUGUUCCCUGCACGCUGAAUUUAGCUGAGAGCUCGUCGAUACUGCCAUGACCAUCGGUCGAGAUGAUACCGAGGGAACUGCCAGAGUCUGAUCUUCCACCACCACCACCAGUCGUUUCCAUCUCAACGUCUUCAGAUGAGGAUGAUAGUUGCAUUGAGGGUUGCUGUAAGUGUUGUUCUUCACUAGCUAAUCUAUCGGCUACGUAUCUACGUACAGGGGGAAAAGAAAAAAAAGAGACUCUUGAUUUAUUGUUUUUUAUAGUUUUUUAUAGUUUUGCAACUAUUACUCCUCAACAAACCUAAUUGCUGCAACCCAAUCCUCCCUCUCCUGCUCAGUCUCCACAUGAAAUGUCCUCUCGAUAACUGUAGUCCACUGCAAUCCCCGAAUGACGAAGGUAAAGGGUUUUGGUCGGUCAACGGACAUGAUCUGACAUCCCCGCACAGUGAAAUUAUUAAGCGGUUGUGCUGUUGCUGCCAUUUGCUGAUCGGGUUUUGAUUUGAAGCCCACGAGUGUCCCAUCAUCCCGAAGCACGAAAUAUCUCGAUCUCCAAUUUUUAAUGUGUUCCCCUGUCAAUUUAAAAAUGAAAAUUCAAUUCAUUUAUAUAAAAAUUAUUGAAUAACAGGAUUGCUUGAAAAAACAAAUACAACUCCAAUUACCUCUCUUCUGGAGCCAUCCUUCCUUCACGACUUGUUGACUGCCAGACGCCGCUACGACGCUCAUCGUUGCCGAGCCGAUUCAAUCACUCGAUCUGUGACAAAAGAAAACAAAAAAUGCUGACAACAGCUCCGAUUCUCCCCAGAGCCAGCUCGUUAAUUUUCCAAUCAUUUCGUUACCAACAAAUUGCGCACGAAAGGUGACAGCAGUUUGCACAAUCUAUAUUUAUAUAUAAUAAUAUAUACACCCUCCACACACGUGUACAUGUGUAUUCUUAUUCUUAUAUUAUAAUAAUCAAAAAAUUGAUGCAUAUUCGCAUAUUGUUUCAUUGUUGUUGUUGUUGUUGUUGUCGUUGCUGCAAGUUGUAGUUACGAAGAGGGAAAAUAAACGAGGGCUGCCUGAGGCUAAUGGCACAACACGUCUAGCACAUCUAGUG